GGAUGAACGCUAGCGGCAGGCCUAAUACAUGCAAGUCGAACGGUGAUAGCAAUAUCAUGGUGGCGCACGGGUGCGUAACACGUAUGCAACCUACCUUAUACUGAGGGAUAGCCUUUCGAAAGGGAGAUUAAUACCUCAUAACACAUUGAACUGGCAUCAGUUUAUUGUUAAAGAUUUAUUGGUAUAAGAUGGGCAUGCGUCCAAUUAGUUAGUUGGCGAGGUAACGGCUCACCAAGACGAUGAUUGGUAGGGGAACUGAGAGGUUAAUCCCCCACACUGGCACUGAGAUACGGGCCAGACUCCUACGGGAGGCAGCAGUAGGGAAUAUUGGGCAAUGGAGGCAACUCUGACCCACCCAUGCCGCGUGCAGGAAGAAGGCGUUAUGCGUUGUAAACUGCUUUUAUAUAGGAAGAAAUAGACCUUGCGAGGUAAGUUGACGGUACUAUAUGAAUAAGCACCGGCUAACUCCGUGCCAGCAGCCGCGGUAAUACGGAGGGUGCAAGCGUUGUCCGGAUUUAUUGGGUUUAAAGGGUGCGUAG
rnacentral:rRNA from 1 species